rnacentral:sRNA from 2 species
GCGGAGGAAAAGAAACCAACAGGGAUUGCCCUAGUAACGGCGAGUGAAGCGGCAACAGCUCAAAUUUGAAAUCUGGCGUCUUCGGCGUCCGAGUUGUAAUUUGCAGAGGGCGCUUUGGCAUUGGCAGCGGUCCAAGUUCCUUGGAACAGGACGUCACAGAGGGUGAGAAUCCCGUACGUGGUCGCUAGCCUUUACCGUGUAAAGCCCCUUCGACGAGUCGAGUUGUUUGGGAAUGCAGCUCUAAAUGGGAGGUAAAUUUCUUCUAAAGCUAAAUACUGGCCAGAGACCGAUAGCGCACAAGUAGAGUGAUCGAAAGAUGAAAAGCACUUUGGAAAGAGAGUUAAAAAGCACGUGAAAUUGUUGAAAGGGAAGCGCUUGCAGCCAGACUUGCCUGUAGUUGCUCAUCCGGGUUUCUACCCGGUGCACUCUUCUAUAGGCAGGCCAGCAUCAGUUUGGGCGGUUGGAUAAAGGUCUCUGUCAUGUACCUCUCUUCGGGGAGAACUUAUAGGGGAGACGACAUGCAACCAGCCUGGACUGAGGUCCGCGCAUCUGCUAGGAUGCUGGCGUAAUGGCUGUAAGCGGCCCGUCUUGAAACACGGACCAAGGAGUCUAACAUCUAUGCGAGUGUUUGGGUGUCAAGCCCGAGCGCGUAAUGAAAGUGAACGGAGGUGGGAACCCUUCGGGGUGCACCAUCGACCGAUCCUGAUGUCUUCGGAUGGAUUUGAGUAAGAGCAUAGCUGUUGGGACCCGAAAGAUGGUGAACUAUGCUUGAAUAGGGUGAAGCCAGAGGAAACUCUGGUGGAGGCUCGCAGCGGUUCUGACGUGCAAAUCGAUCGUCAAAUUUGGGCAUAGGGGCGAAAGACUAAUCGAACUAUCUAGUAGCUGGUUCCUG